GCAUUCGUGCGAUUUUGUUUUUGGUUGGAUAAAAGAACUUUGGCUUGGGUUAGUUAUAUUUUGUUUUUAAAGAGAGUUUAUAUGUGUUGCAAAGUGCUAUGGAAUGUGUAUUUGGUUCAACAUUUGUUUGCAAAACUAUUGAUGCAGCGAGGGCGUCCAUAGGUUGCUUUUAAUAGAGAAAUUGGCACCCCAAGUGUCACUCUCGAUGGUGAUAUAUUUCAGCCAAGUGGCCUUUUGACUGGUGGAAGUCGCAAGAUGGGAGGUGUGCAGAAACAUAUGACAUUCUUCCAGAUGGAUUUAAACUGAAAAAGGAAGAUGGUGUUUACUACAUGUCCUAUGCCAUGGGCAGAGGAUGCCUUACAUUUGGGGAGAUGAUGCAAAAGAUUUCUGACCUGAAAGAUGGCUCAACAAUGGUGUUUUCCAACCUAAAUCACCGUUCAAAUUCAUCGCAUUUCAUGUACGUUUAUAGUUUAUUUUUAUUUUUUUUUUACAGGAAAGAUUAUACAUGCUUAUAUUUAUUUCUGGCAAAAACAAAAAUGAGAACAUGGAGAUGGAAUGCGUGAUUGAGUUUCCACACACGCACAUGGAUCGCCGUCCCAGAAGGUCGCGUUUGGGUUGGGACGUUGCUCCUCAGGCCUUAAGGAAGGAGCAACAAAGGAAGACAUUGAACGACUGUCCAAAUACAAAUUUCGGAGGGUUGGUGACUUUGAGAAACAAAAUGAGGAGAUUCUAGAAUCUUUUAGAGGAAUAAUUACAGAAUGUGAUACUGAUUCACCAAUUGAACAUGUUCUUUCCCCAGAAAAUGCUGAAUGUUGCAUUUGCCUUUGUCCCUAUGAAGACGGAAGACAGAACUGAACUGCAUGAAUUCCCUUCACGCCAUCAUUUUCACUGCUCCUGCAUAGACAAGUGGUUGUACAUCAAUGCUACAUGUCCUCUCUGCAAGUUCAAUAUACUGAAGAACGGCAAUCAAAGUCGUAGCGAGGAAGUGUAAGAAAAAAGCUAGUUCUUCAAUGGAUUGAUAACUUUGGAUCUUGUUAUGUGUAUUUCGUGAUUUUGCCAAUACGGUAAUCUUUUUCUUCUCAAGAUUUGCUUCGGCUGAAGUGUUGUUUACGAGUACAUCGUGUUGUUUUCCUUUGUUUAUGUUUGUUUAAUGUAUAUGGGUUUUUUUUUUUUUUUAACAGACCACUGUUGUGUUAGCUGCUGAUGUAGCUUUUGUUUAUUGUGCAAUCUAUAAUCUUUGGAAUUCAAAUGUUACAACAUAAAAAGUGUUUUGAAAAAUUGUAAUUACUCUAAUAAUUCUGAUUGUAAUGGAUCCAUGACUUAAAACUCAACUAGAGAGAAUACCAUAAAUAUGCAUCUAAUUUUAAUUUUUAA